GGCUACUGGACUCUAAUGUCGUCAAGGCUACUGGACUCUAAUGUCGUCAAGGCUACUGGACUCUAAUGUCGUCAAGGCUACUGGACUCUAAUGUCGUCAAGGCUACUGGACUCUAAUGUCGUCAAGGCUACUAGACUCUAAUGUCUUCAAAGCUUCCGGACUCUAAUGUCUUCAAAGCUUCCGGACUCUAAUCUCUUCAAGGCCACUGAACUCUUCAAGGCUACUGGACUUUAAUGUCUUCAAGGCUACUGGACUCUAAUGUCGUCAAGGCUACUGGACUGUAAUGUCGUCAAGGCUACUGGACUUUAAUGUCUUCAAGGCUUCUGGACUCUAAUGUCGUCAAGGCUACUAGACUCUAAUGUCUUCAAAGCUACUGGACUCUAAUGUCUUCAAGGCUACUGGACCCAAAUAUAUGUAGGCUACUGGACUGUAAUAUCUUGCAGGGCUACUGGACUAUAAUAUCUUGCAGGGCUACUGGACUCUAAUAUCAGUAUGCUACUGGACUGUAAUAUCUGUAGGCUACUGGACUGUAAUAUCUUGCAGGGCUACUGGACUAUAAUAUCUUGCAGGGCUACUGGACUGUAAUAUCUUGCAGGGCUACUGGACUGUAAUAUCUUGCAGGGCUACUGGACUCUAAUAUCUGUAGGAUACUGGACUCUAAUGUAUUCAAGGAUACUGGACUCUAAUAUCUGUAGGAUACUGGACUCUAAUAUCUGUAGGCUACUGGACUGUAAUAUCUUGCAGGGCUACUGGACUCUAAUAUCUUGCAGGGCUACUGGACUCUAAUAUCUGUAGGCUACUGGACUGUAAUAUCUUGCAGGGCUACUGGACUGUAAUAUCUUGCAGGGCUACUGGACUAUAAUGUCUGUAAACUACUGGACUGGACAGGAAUAUGAUGACAAGAAAAUGGAAAUGAAGUAAUAAUUUAAAUGAAUGGUAUCGAGUUCAGUCUUAAAUCUCCAACACAACCUCUGAACUCGUGAUGUCGUUCCCUCACAGCUAGCUUUCGACGUUCUUGAGUCCCAUACAAGGUAGGUUAAUGAGGUUAAAGACGUGAAUGAUUGUUUAUUAGAGGGAUUUAUUCUGGUCACACACUGCUAUAGACCACCACUAUAGUGAAGGUUUGAUGUACAGAAAAUUGGUUUAUACUGCCAGGGACACACAGUGUACUUAUAACACACACACACACACACACAC
rnacentral:lncRNA from 1 species